UCAAAGAGCGUUGGAUUGUCUUAUAACCGACGCCGAAUGGAAGGGAGGUCUUCGAAACCGUUUGGAUUCGCGCUUGCUAAUGCGCUGGUCUUCAAAAAAGUGCGUGAAGGAUUGGGUUUGGAUAAGGCCCGAGUGAUCUUGUCGGGUGCCGCGCCUCUCUCCAAAGAAGUGGCCGAAUAUUUUACGAGUCUGGAUAUUCCCAUCUUGGAGGUAUGUGGCAUAAGUAACGUAUUAUUGUGACUUGCAACAACAACAACAUGGGGCAGGGAGAGCAUUUUGAGAUUUUUCUUUUUAUGGUUUUUAUGUUUCUCUUACCCGGUGCAGGUCUAUGGAAUGAGCGAGUCGACGGGACUGCACUCCAUCAACAACAUCACGAAAGGUUACCAGCUCAACAGCGCUGGAAAAUCGGUACCGGGCUGCCUCACGAAAAUUGCUAACCCGGACAAGGACGGCAAUGGAGAGAUUCUGAUGGGCGGACGGCAUGUGUUUAUGGGUUACUUGAAUGACCCUGGCAACACUUCGUCUGUUGUGGACGCUGACGGCUAUCUGAGCACGGGUGAUGUUGGUCAUACCGACAAGUUUGGCUUCGUCUACAUCACUGGCCGUAUUUAAGAAAUUCUCAUUACGGCUGGAGGCGAAAACGUGGCUCCGGUUCUCAUUGAAGAUGACAUUAAAGCGGAAUUGCCCAUUGUCAGUCACGCUAUGGUUGUCGGUGAUAGGCGGAAAUUCCUUUCCAUUCUCCUGACUUUGAGGACUGAAGUGGAUCCGGAUACGCAAGAGCCGUUGCCCAUUUUGACCCGGCCGACCCGGUGAAAGUUAUGGCCUUUCGCUGGCUGUCAGCUGAAACGGUGACGGACGUCAUCUGUGCGGCAGAGCGAGGCAUGGCUGAAUGCGAUCCCAUGGCCGCUUUUACUAUUUUAAUUUACUCUUCUUCGGCUCGAGUUAGAGUUAGUCCCAGUUUAAAAUGUUCAGUCUCAUG